GGAUGAGAGGGCGAUCUGGCUGCGGCAUCUGUCACCCCACUGAUCACCAGGGUUGAUUCGGCUGAUCUGGCUGGCUGGGCGGGUGACCCCUUCCUCCCUCACUGCUCCAUGUGAGUCCCUGCCGCGCCCACUGCGCAGCCUGUAUCCGAGAAUGUGUGGAGGGUGUCGGGAUUGAUGGCACAGAGACCAGUCAACGAUGUAAAG
rnacentral:snRNA from 1 species